GGCAGCUUGGUGGUAGAGCACCUGCCAUGCCUACAAAAGGCCCCAGAAGGCCCCAGGUUCAAUCCCUGGCAUCGCCA